GGUUUUUGAUUUUCACUUGUUUGCAUGUUCAAGUUUAUUGUUGUUAUCACAGGUAUACAAUUCCAUGAAAAUUAACUUUUUUUACAGCAGCUCAGUACAUUGCAGGGUGAGGGCAGACAUAAAUUAACAUAAUUUUAAAUUAGCAUCAGACUUAUACAGUCGGUGGCCACUUUACCUGAUAUAGUGGCCACUGGGUGUAUGAUCGUGGUCCUCUGCUGCGGCAGCCCACCUAAUUCAAAGUGCUUGGUGACUGGCGUGUUCUGGGGUCGACACCGAGGAUCGGGGCCCAAGGGUCGAAUCAGAAAUCCAGAAGUCGAGGCCCAUUGGAUGGAGCCUGAACCUGCGAAUCACUGCAAGUGACCCAGAGGCCGAAAGUCAGGGUCUAAGUCCGCUGGAGGCUGAAGGCUGAAGACAGCCUGUCUGGGGAUUGGAGGGCCGUGCCUGUGCGUGGGUGGGAGGGAGGAAUGGGGCUUGUUUUCCUGUUGUUGUUUUGUUGCUUGUUAUGGUUUGUGUUCUGUGCUGAGCAUUGUCGGCAUGCUAUGUUGGCGCUGGAACGUGCGGUGACACUUGCGGACUCCCCCAGCACACCCUCAGGUGUGUUGGUUGUUGACGCAAAUGAUUCAUUUCACUGUGUACUUCAAUGUACACGUGGCAAAUAAAUUUGGAUCUUGAAUCUUGAACCUAAUAUUUGAGGUCCAACACCCUGGCGUGCUGACUUGAUUGUCUCCAUCUUUUUCGUAUUGACAUAUUGAGUUGAAUGACCACAGUAUUUUGCCCCUAGUGUGUAGGAGAUUGGUAAGGUUUUGGGAGACUGUGUUGAAAAUAUGAGGGCAAAAUAGGAUUAGUGUGAUUGGUGCUUGAUGGUCAGCAUGGAUUCAAGGGGCCAAAAGGCCUUUCAGCCUGAAAAGUUACCUCCAUUCUACAGACCAUGCCUGAGAUACAUUACCUCUUUAGGUAUCAGAUUUCACGCAUUCUGCAGUACUCUGCUUUUCAAUCAUUUAAGACCGCUGAUGCUCCUGCAAGUUUGUAUUGAGAGCACUUAAACUGGCCAUAAACUUGGAUUUUCUUUCUAAUGACUCUCAGCGAGCAGAGGGAAUUCUGUUCAUCAGUUUUACCGACACAGAUUGAUAAGCGCCCGAAUCUCCUUUAUUUAUUUAAAUUCAGCCUUCCUCAGAUUAAUUCAUUCAAAUAAUCUCAUCGGAUACUAAAUUAUCAGAACAGGAAACAUAUACAGCCAUAUGCCAUAUACAAUAUGUUCUGUAUCAUUGGAACAAAUUCAAGGAUAAUAUUGAUCACUUUAUUGCAACUGUAGCAAAAAGAAACUUCUAACGUCAAUUCCAAACUUAACCGCUACUAAUUUGAAUUAAUGUCCUUUGUUCUUCCCCGUUAUUUAAAAUUAACAUUUUCAGCUAAUGAAUGCCUGUAAUGUGCUCUUCAGGGCUGGACAGCAUUGGGCUCCAAAGUUUUUAGAGCACCCAAACUGGUUAAUUGUUGUUUAAUGAGAGUCUAUAAUUGUUUAGAAUUCCUUGUGCUUAUCUCAAGCAACUCACUCCUGGUAAUGCAGUAUCCUGGUGCUUUCUGUUUAAGCUUAAGUUUGUUCCAAUAUGCUCAGGGAUUCUGUAUUACUUGUAUUAUUUAAGUGGAUGCUGAUUAGCACUAAUCACGGGCUCCUAGUUUUGAGAAUGACUGCACUUUGUGACUACACCUCUUCAUAACUACAGAGUCUCUUAGAAAAUUUGUUUGAGGACACGCCUGUUCAGAUUGCUGUUACUCAGCCCCUGUGUUGGUGCGUGACCAAGUGGUUAAGGCGUUCGUCUAGUGAUCUGAAGGUAGUUAGUUCAAGCCUUGGCUGAGGCUGUGUGUGUGUCCUUGAGCAAGGCACUUAACCGCACACUUGUCUGCGACGACCCGUGCCAAGCUGUAACCUAGUGCCCUUCCCUUGGACAACAUCCAUGGCAUGGAGAGGGGAGACUUGCAGCUUGGGCAACUGGCGGUCUUCCAUUAAAAAAAAACCUUGCCCAGGCUUGCGCCCUGGAAACUUUCCAAGGUGCAAAUCCAUGGUCUAUCGAGACUAAGUUUAAUGCUGAGAAGUGUGAGGUUCUACAUUUUGGCAGGAAUAAUCCAAAUAGAACAUACAGAGUAAAUGGUAGGGCAUUGAGGAAUGCAGAGGAACAGAGAGAUCUAGGAAUAACUGUGCAUAGUUCCCUGAAAGUGGAGUCUCAUGUAGAUAGGGUGGUGAAGAGGGCUUUUGGAAUGCUGGCCUUUAUAAAUCAAAGCAUUGAGUACAGAAGUUGGGAUGUAAUGCUAAAGUUGUACAAGGCAUUGGUAAGGCCAAAUUUGGAAUAUUGUGUGCAGUUCUGGUCACCGAAUUAUAGGAAAGAUAUCAAUAAAUUAGAGAGAGUGCAGAGACGAUUUACUAGGAUCUUACCUGGGUUUCAGCAAUUAAGUUACAGAGAAAGGUUGAACAAGUUAGGUCUCUAUUCAUUGGAGCGUAGAAGGUUGAGGGGGGAUUUGAUCGAGGUAUUUAAAAUUUUGAGAGGGAUAGAUAGAGUUGAUGUGAACAGCUGUUUCCAUUGAGAGUAGGGGAGAUUCAAACUAGAGGACAUGAUUUGAGAGUUAGGGGGCAGAAGUUUAAGGGAAACUCGAGGGGGUAUUUCUUUACUCAAAGAGUGAUAGCUGUGUGGAAUGAGCUUCCUGUAGAAGUAGUAGAGGCCAGUUCAGUUGUGUCAUUUAAGGUAAAAUUGGAUAGGUAUAUGGACAGGAAAGGAGUGGAGGGUUAUGGGCUGAGUGCGGGUAGGUGGGACUAGGUGAGAUUAAGGGUUCGGCACGGACUAGGAGGGCCAAGAUGGCCUGUUUCCGUGCUGUGAUUGUUAUAUGGUUAUAUGGUUAAUGGAUGCCUACGUACUCAGCCCCUGCCUCUGUGCUGCAUCUGGCAUCUGACCAUCUCCUUUCCUGAGAGCACAGUAGAGGAGCUUGGUGAUCCCGGACUAAACUCAGCUGGGACUGUUCACUUUGAUCAAUAUUUGUACUAAUAAUUAACACUGACUUCUACUGUAUAAAUCAUGUGCGUUAGCUUCUUCAGUGCACUACUUGAGAAUACCCAGUGUUGAGUCUACUAGAGCCAACCCACUCAGUGUUUCUCCUCAACCUCUCAUUAGAGCUCUAACCUGGCUCUGCUGUUCUCUAAUAUUAAUCCCAAAUUAUCCAAGAAUUGAAAACCACCCCCCCCCCCUUUUGAUUUUAAUCUAGCUUUAGGUAGAACUUGAUCAAAUGCCAUUUGAAAAUUUAAGUAGAUAUUGGCUCAGGGUUUAUGUUGACAACCAUUCAGAAAAAAAUUAGAGCAGCCAUUUUAGGCAGAAUGACUGCUUGACUUGGGAAAAAUGCAAUUUAACUCUGUAGGUUGGUCUUGUGACCUUUUAUUUUGCUUGUAUUUAUCUACACCCCAAAUUUUGUCCUAACUCUCUUUAUGAGGGGGCCUUUCAGUCACGCUGAGUUGUGAAUCUUCCUCUCUUAGCAUCUUCUGAUGUUCUUUCUGCCCCUCAAAGUCCAACCCUAGAUCCCCAUCGUGAGAGGUGGAAAUGGGUCAGUCUGGCCAAGAGGCUGUAUAGGCCAAUCUCCUCUACAGUGGAUUACAGAAACAUUGAUGAAUUCCAAGCAUACCAUCAACUUCGUGGUGGAGAUGGGAGGCCAUUGAUGGCCUAAGCUUCACCAGGAGCUAAGGGCCUAAGAAGAAGAUGUUCUCUCUGAUAUUGCCCCCUUUUUACAUGUUAGAGCAAUUCUAAUGUGUUUCCAUGUAAUCUCAGAGAUCCUUUAUACCCUUCUCCCUGCAGAAUUUGUAAACAGCAUUCGUUGAGAUUGCUUGGAGUCCUUUUUGUUCAAAAUUUGUUCAGUCUCUCAACACUUUGCAGUUUUUCGCCAGCAACAUUCCACUCAUAGAUGAACAAGCAAAGUAAUUACGUAUCUGGCAUUCUUGAAUCCAAUCUCAGCAAUCAUCAUUUGGUGAAAAUUCUUCAGGAAACAUGCAAAAUACUUUUUCUAAAGGAGGGGAUGUGCAGGAAACUCAUGAUUUGCAUUGGUACCUGCUCUUAAAAUGAUUGCAUUCUUCAAUCACAGGCCAUUUGAUCCAUCUAGACUCCACUGUCCUUUUGUGGAGCAAUUCUGUCAGAUCUAGUUCCCUUGUCUUUCCCCAAAGCACUGCAGUUUAAAUUAACUUUUAAAUUGCAUUAUGAAAACCCAGAUUGGCACUGUUUCUACUGUCCCUACUGAAACGAUCAGAAUGAUUCACCCUCAGGACUUCAAAUCCAGAGCAACACACACAAAAUAUUGGAGAAACUCAGCAGGUCAGGCAGCAUCCGUGGAGGGAAUAAACAGUCGAAGGUCUGGGCCAUUGUCUUUCAUCAGGGCUGGAAAAGAAGGGAGCAGAAUCCAGAAUAUGUGAUGAGGGUCCUUGACAAGGAUGGUUUAACACAAAUGCCAGAGUAUUGUAAGCAAGGAUUGAGACACAGUAUCAAACCAGACCAAGAAAUGAGCACAAAAUUAAUUAAGCGAUGAUAACACUAAAAGGGUUUACGAUUGAGCACUGAACCUCUAAGUACUCAAUUCCUCACGCCCUAAAUGUGAUUGCCAAUUAGUGGGACCAUCCUGAACCCUUAAAGGAGAUGUGCCAGCUAUCCGUACCUCGGAGAGUUGGAGCAUCUAAACCCUGGAGGCUGGUACAGUCGGGAGCGUCUUGUAACAGGACCCCCUCACCUACGGCUGACUCCUGACGGCCCUGGCUACUUGGAGAGAUAGUUAUGGUUGUCGUGGAUGAGAGUCAGAUCCAAGCUGUCUCUUUCAGGCACCCAGCACUUCUCUUUGGUUCUGAAUCCUUCCUAAUCCACAAGGCAUUGCUGAAUUUCCUGAACAGUAUGUGAGUCCAGAAGUCUUCUCACCGUGAAUGUCUGUUCCCCCUCGAUAAAUCUGUGUGGCAGCAGGGCUGACGGUAGUGGGUCUAAGUGGCUGGUGCAGGCAGUGUUUAAUUUAGCAAUGUAGAAGGUGGAAUCGAUCUUUAGGGUCUUGGGGAGCCGCAAGGUGUAAGCUUUCCUCAGCUUUGAGUGGUCCAAUGAACUUGUGUGCCAGCUUUCUAGAUUCCACCCAGAGAAGCAAAUCAUGAAUGGGCAGCCAGACCCAGGAGGUGGGUGCCCACGGUCUUUCUGGGACAGUUAGGGGGUGGAGGGUCUCUUCAGUUCGGGUACAGGGCUCCUUGCUCCGGGCGCACAACUCGCAUGCCUGGACGCACUGCCGGACCUCUUUCAUCAUGUCAGGACACCAAUACCUCCUCUUGAUAAACUCAAGAGUCCUGGCUACCCCAGGGUGAGCGCCCAUUCUCGACGAAUACCCCCAGUGGAGUUCCUGAGACCAGAUGGGACUUGGGAUGAACCUCCGACCCGGAGGAUCGUUCUCCGGAGUCUUCCUUUGCCCUUGGGCCUUGCAAACAAGAGUGUCAAUUCCCCAACAAAUUGACACUGUCACUCUGGCUUGAAGCAAAAUGGUGGUAGGCUGCUCGUCUAGUUCUGGUUCAUCAGACUGAUGGGACAAGGCUUCUGGUUCUUUGAACCCAGUUGGUAGGUCAGGUUGAAAUCAAAGCAGUUAAAGAACAAGGACCACCUGGCCUGUCUGGAAUUCAACCUCUUCACCUCCUGAAUAUAAGCCAGGAUCUUGUGGUCUGUCCAAAUGAUAAAAGGGUUCUCGGCCCCCUCUAGCUAGUGAUGCCAUUCUUCCAAAGCUAACUUAACCACAAGAAGCUCGCAAUUCCUGAUGUCACAGCUUCUCUCUGCCGGGAUAGGUGCCUGGAGAAGAAUGCACACGAGUACAGUUUACCAUCUGAGGAUGAGACAAGAUGGCAUCCACUCCGAUGUCUGAGACGUCCAUCUCCACAAUGAAGGGAAGGUCCGGGUUAGGAGAAGCCAGGCUGGGAGCUGCUGUGAACCACUGUUUAAGCUCUGCAAAUGAAGCUUCUGCUACAGUAGUCCAUACAAAAGGUCCCAUGGAUUUCUUCAUGCCCUCAGCAGAGCUGUCAGCGAGCCAAAGUUUCCACUCAUCACUCUCCUUUAUACGGACCAGAUUUUAUGCAAUCCGCAGAUCUAGCUUUGUGAAUACUCAUGCUCCUUGGAUCAUCUCAAAGGCUGAAUCCAUGAGUGGAAGGGGGCAACAACUCUUGGCCGUUAUGCAGUUUAACCCCUAUAAUCAAUGCAUGGCUGCAGGCUACCAUCUUUCUUUGGUAUGAAGAAGAAGCCUGCACAGACGGGUGAGGUGGAGGACCGGAUGAACUCAUGGCAAAAGUUUCCUUUAUAUACUCCUCCAUCGUGUUUCUUUCUGGGCCUGAGAGUGCAUAUAAUUGACUCUCUGGGGGACAAGUACCAGGCAUCAAGCCUAUAGCACAGUCAUAGAUUCAGUGCAGUGGAAGAGUCAAGGCCUUUCUCUUGUCAAAGAUCUCUUCCAAGCUCUUGUAGACAGAAGGGAUUUCAAAUGGUUUGGGUGUUGCUAUCUCCUCCAGACCUUCCUUCAAGGAUAGCUUCUGAGGCUUCUUAGAAGGCAGGGGUGAUUUGACAGAUCUCUGAACCCCCUCCCUAGGUUCACAAAGCUUAUUUAAGAAUCAGCGGCCAAAUCAGAGUCCAAAUUCCCAUCUGUCUCCUCAGGCGAUGGGCAGCAAAACAUUACAGAUGAUCCUUACGGAGGUCAAGCCUCGAUGGAAUCUGUUUGCUGUCACGUCCUGAGCUGCCCUUAUAGAUGCUGUGCCUCUUUGUGGGCACAAUGGAGAGCAUGUUGGAGCUCUAGUGAUGUGUGAUGACAUAAUUGCUCUCUGUUCUAUAGAUAGGAAGAAUUAAAUUUUGGGGUUUUGUAUACAAUGGUGGCCUGUUCCUGUGUGGUAUUCAAUGUUCUAUGUACCCUCUCUAAAUGCUCUUCAUCUUAUACAUCUCUAAUAUAUUUCCAGUCAAUCUUCUCUGCUCCAAAGAGAACAUCCCCAGCUUCUCCACCCUGACUUUGUAGCUGGAGACCCUUGCUGACAAAACCAUUACAGCAAACCGGUCCUCCCCUUUCUGUACAGUCUUCACAUUCCUCCUGAAUCGUGGUGACCUGAAACAACUCUUCAGUUGUUCACUUAACAGUGUUCUACAGAGAAUCAACAUAACUCUCUGUCUUUGAGUUAUCUUCCUCUAUUCCUGAAACCCAGUAUCAUUAAUAACUUUCCUCUCAACAAACCCUACCACAGUCAAAGAUGCGUGCAGUUUAUAUAGAUCCCCUGUCUGUGCAUACCCUUUGGAACGCUACCAGUAUAUCUGUAAUGCCAAUGAGGUUGCAAAAUACCGUUCAAUUCCUAAUCACACAACAAUCAAGUAACAUGUCUUGUUUUAUAUGUUCAUGGCCAUACUGGAAAAUGUCACUCAAGGACCUUUAAUAUUUCUGUUAUUAAGUUGCUCCUCCAAGUGGACCAGAGUCUUGUCAUUGGGUUUGGAGGCUUGCAUGCCUCUUAGAGCAGGAGAGAUAUGCUGGCUGGAGUCAGGACUUAUGCUUUGGCUCUUAGUAGAGUCACCCAUGCCGAACAGGUCAAAGGGUAGAGGCCAGACCAAGAGUGGUCCACCUGUCCUCCAGAUUCGGGGCUAAUAACCCUGACAGGUAAAACAAAACUGUUAUGGAAACAGCAAUGAAGAAUCCUUCUACAUCUGAGUGUGAUGGUAUUCCUGAGUCUCCACCCAGGAACUGCAUGACUGACGGUAGUGAAAACUGGGAAGAAGUUACUGACACGAUGAAGGAAGCCUUGAACACCGCCAGAGAUGGAUGACUUAAAUGCCAGCGGCAGAACGGACAGUGGAUUUGAUGAUUUGGUUCAUCUAUUUCGCAUCAGUGUACAGACAUGCGGAGAAGAAGCAACCGGAAAUGCGAAGCUACCAAGCUGACCAAUCACAGUUUUUGCAGUCUACGUCGCCGUGACGCCCCUUUGUAGGGACUUCUGGUCCAAUGCUCGGCAGCUCCCACACCAAAUGGAGAUGGACCUUCUCAGGAUGCUCUCAAUGGUGAGCGUGUUGACCCUGGAUUAAAAUGUUCCCUGUAUUGAAAGGAUCAAGAUACCAUUUCUUCAAAUUAAAACAACUGAUUACAGCAAGAACUCUAUUGCAAAGUGCAUAAUUCUAUAGGACAAGGAUUUAAUUUAAAAAUUGAUUGGGGCACUUGUUGACAAUGUUCAGGUAAGUGGCUAGUAUUUUCAAUGGCCACCAUAACUCUUAAUGUAGAUUAAUGCCAGGUAAACAGUGCACACUGUUAAAAACCCAAAAAGUGAUCCUGACCAAAGUAAGGAUUUCUUUGUUGGAAAUUAGUCCCUGGAACAUAAAACCUGGCAUUGGAAAACCAAGUGAAGCUAUGCCUCAAUGUGCUCUCCUUAAAAAACAAUACCAAGGAAAAACAAGCAAAGAGCACACCUCCAGGUUCAGGAACAAUUGUCACCCUUCAACCAUCAGGCUACUGAAUCAGCGAGGAUAGCUUUACUCACCUCAACACUCAACUGAUGACUGAAUGCAACCUAUGCUCACUUUCAAGGACUUUACAACUCAUGUCCUCAGUAUUAUUUAUUCACUUAUCGUUAUUUUUUUUUUUGUAUUUGCAGUUUGUCUUAUUUGCAAUUGGUGCCUCAGCUUUUGUGUGUAGUUUCUCAAUGGUUCUUUGUUCUACUGUGAAUGCCUGUGAGAAAAUGAAUCUCAGGAUAGUAUUUGGUGACAUUGAUAUUAAAUUCACUUUGAACUUUGCAGAGACGGUGCUUUUCAUUUCAGUCACUUACCCCUUUAUAUUGCUGAUACAAAUGGAAGUCAGGAAUUUUUUUUGCCAGAAAAUCGAUUCUAAUGAGUAGCUGGUGACAAAUGACCAAAUCCACAAAUCCAAAAGAGGUCAAGAGAGAAGUAUCUGGCCAUAACUUGUAAUAACAGUCAUCAUUGCUCAAUACCUACCACCACAGAGGAGGUGGCGGUGAAGCUGCCCUCUUCAGCUUUUGAACUUUUUGACUUUCGUCUAAUGUUCUUCAAGAACACAAAGCUGCAGAGCUGAUUUCCUACUGAACGCUCUCAGGUACUCAAUGUGUAAAAGCAUGCAGAGAGUGGUGCAGUUGUUGUUCAGACCAACAUUGGAAUGGGGAAAUAAUGUGAUUUAGGUGAGUUUGACCAUGGAAUGAUUGCUGGUGCCAGACAGGGUGCUUUGCAUAUCUCAAAAACAGUUGAUCUCCUGGGAUUUUCACGCACAACAGUCUCCAGAGUUUAUAAAGGAUGGUGCGAGAAAUUAAAAACAUCCAGUGAGCAGUAGUUCUGUGGGCGAAAAUGCCUUGUUAAUGAGAAAGGUCAGUGGAGAAUGCUGGACUGGUUCAAGCUGACAGAAAGGCGACAAAAACUCAGAUAACCACAUGUUACAACAGUGGUGUGCAGAAGAUCACCCCUGAAUGCACAUCACAUCAAACAUUCAAGUUGAUGAGCUACAGCAACAGAAGACCACACCAGGCUCCACAUCUCUGCUUAAUAAAGUAGCCACUGAGUCUAUAUAAUAGAGCAAAAAUAUUGAGGUAAUGUUCAUGGGUUAUGUAGCAUUCUGAAAUUUGAUGGCAGAGGGGAAGAUGCUGUUCCUAUCUUUUACUCUAUAAAUGAUUAAAAAUAUUGAAUACUAUAUAUUGACAUGAUUCAAAUGUAUGAUUGUACGUCUAUUAAAAAUUAAAAUUCAGUAUGAGCUUCUUUGUUUUUUUAAUGAUAUGAAUGAAAUAAAGCUGUCAAUCUUUGUUCAGGAACAUUAAGUUCCUGCAGUUUUUGUGGUUUCAGUAUGAUCUUUGGAAUAUAUUAAUUGAUUAAAAGUUUACA